rnacentral:lncRNA from 1 species
GUGUUGCUUCGUUGAUGUUUUGCAGUGCAGUUGUGCGCACGAGGGGAUGGAUGCACUAAGAGAGUUGCUCGCGUCAGUAAGCUCAGUGUCACAAUUUCUCAAAAAUCAUCCUUUUUGUUCCACUCUCCUUUCUUCUUCUACUUUUUUAUUUUUGUUGUUCUAAUAUUGUUAUUGUUGUAGUUUAUGUUGAUGAUGUGGUUUGUGGAAGAAUAGUUGUUGGAUAUAUGGUUUGUGAAGAGGAUGCAGUGAAGAUUGAAGGAAAAUAAGGUGGGGAGAUAAUGAAAAGGGAGAGUGAUGAAGAUGAAGGUAGUCGAUGAAGAUUUGAUGUGGAUAGUGAAUCUCGAGUGGUUGUGGUGAGCAAAAUGCAGAUUUUUGUAUGUGUUUUCUGUGUAUUCUCAUCUCAAAUUAUCUUAGGAUUCAUAGGAGGAAUUAGGUUAGUAUUUUCAAGUGUGUGAGUGUGUAAAGUGUGUGAGAGACACAAAUUGUGGGAGUGUAGAAGAGUGGAGAGCAAGUUUGUUAGAAUUUGAGUGAGAAAUGGUGUGGAACGUGUGAGUUUUUGUGUUGUCCGCGUGAAGAAGUUAUGGUAUAAUGUAUCGAUUUGGUCUGUUCUGAGGCCAUAAGCUCUUGUUGUCAGUCUGACAUAUUCUCACCCUUAAUUGUAAGUAAAUAAAUUAAAAAACAUAAUUAAUGAGAGUAUUAUUUUUUUUGAGCAUAUACCAUUAGUUUUAAAAUUUUAAAAUUAAAAUACAAAAUUAUGUUACAAAUACAUCUCAUAAUAUGAUAGAGUAUGCAUCUACAAUCUUUUAUUAAUUCAUAUUUAAGGAGUGAAAUUUAAAACACUAAAAUAUAGGCAUAAAAAAUAUAAAUAAGCAUACAUUGCAAAUUAGGACUUUUUAUUUUAUUAAAAAGAGUUGCAAAUUUUUUAAAAAAAACACUAUAAAAUAAAAUAGUAGUAUUUCAUUGAAUAUAAACUAUAGUUACACCCAUAAUAUAUAAGAUUUAAAUGGAAACAAUUUUCACCCCAAUAUUCAUCCUAUCUUUAAGUUGAAGAAGUCAUUCUUCUUUCAAGUCUUCCACUUUUACUUCUGCUCAAACCAAACAUCAAAUGUGUAUGCUUCAAACGUAAAAAUAAAAUUUUGGAGGAAGAUUUAUUUAUUUUAUUCAAUAUUAUUAAGUAUUUAUAAUAAUGUAAUGUAUUUUAAAAAUGAUCACUAGUUACUACAACAACACACGGAAUUAUAAUUACAUCUACCUAUCGGAAAUCCUGACCAAAAACAUCUUAGGACGCAAUCAAAACAUAGCCCACCAAUGCAUGUUUCGGCUAUAUCGUUACCAGUUGCUCCUAUUAAAAAAAAAACUCAAACUCAAAAUUCCUUUGUAUAUUUUAACAACGAUUUACAAAAUAGAAUUUACAGGAAAAAGUUCAUAUUUCUUACCAAAAGAUAGGACCAAUGUAAUGCAUAAAAGUCCCAAGAGAAAAAGUUUGCUAAUGUGCAUUGUUAUUUUUUCUGAAGAUUUUAUCUUUGUAUUCUAUUAUUA